GAGAGCCGUAUGCGGGAGACCCUCCUGUAUGGUUCGGAGGGAGGGGAGAUGAUUGUCUUCCCUAUCCCUAU
rnacentral:ncRNA from 1 species